GAACGGAUAACUGACCCAAUCAACAAAAGUCCACGUUCAAGCGGGAGAGCAACACGUGGCGCACACGCAACGCACUAGCCGACGCGUUUUCGAUCGAGUCAGCUUGGGAUCGGUGGUGUAGGGCAGAAGGAGUGAGCGAGUCGUGGUGUCCGCGGCCGCGCGGCGUGGGGGAUAAGGAGGAAAUAGGAGUAAGCUUAUCGGCGGCCGGCGGGGUGGCGAAGAGGGGGAAGGAGGAUGGAGGGAAUAGUGGUGAUGGAGACCGGGACGGGGGUUAGGUGUAGGCGGAGGAGGGAGGCAAGGAAGGUCUAGUCCCUCAUUCUAGCGUCCGCCGUUUCGUACGCCAGCUACCGUCGCCGACCUGCUCCUCGUACCGUCGCUGGCCCCGACGACCUGUCAUCCCCGAGCGGCACCACCAGGGACCCUUCUCCCGCUGUAGAAGGCCGCUGUUCGACGUCCGGACGUUGUAAAUAUCUCCUCCUAACGUCCACAACUAUGUUACCUCGUUAAAGACCGAAACAUCAACCUCGUAUCGGAGCUAAUACGUACUAAAACCCGUUAACCUACAAUUAGACGAUACCCGUUGCCGCCACGUAGUUCCACGUUCCGUCGUCGCUGUACAAGUAUCAUGCGAUUUCCUACUUGAGGAUGAAAAAUAAUACGAUCGAGGAACGACGUCUAUAUGGUCGGACGCAUGUAAAGGAUUAUAUAGGAGAACCAGUUCCGUUAACGUGUACUACUUCGGUGAGUAAAAUCCUAUACGUAACACGAAUUUGUACUCACGAGCGAGCGGCUUGUAACCGGGAGUCUACUUAAGCUGCGAACUUAGCUCGACUGCUCGGGGUACCCCCACUCUCCGCCUAUUGUUAUGCUCUUCCUCGUACGGUAGCUCCUCACGUUCGUCGUCGUGAGGAGGCGUUACCCCAUACCGACGUCCCCUCCCCUGCGCCGGUUGCUGUCCUUCUUCCUCGUCCAGCAGCUCCUGAUGUUCGUCGUCCUAAUAAAAACCGGGUAUGUCAAAGGAAACUGACCUUCAGACUUUGACUUCUAUCCCGUAUAACAAAACCAAGACUCACCGGCCUCUAUAACACCGAACUACAGGGAUAUCGUCAGCCUAUGAAGGUUCUAUCUUCUAGAAACCCUAACUGCAAGACUACUCUUUCAUCGUAUGCCUACCUACCUGUACUUGAUAAGUCACCAGCUUAACGCGAUAUAAAGAAAGUAACUCCGCUCCCACUAAGGUCAUCUAAAACGAACCGCAUAAGUGGAAAAAAUAACUUCAACCCACAGGCAGAAGAGACGCCGUUCUAGAUACGACAGCGCCGUUGUGUCCGGUUAUGUGUAAGUCCUUUAUACAGUGGUUGAAGGGGUUCCAGGGCGUAGCAGAUGAGUCCAAUUAAGAGCCAGAUGUUGGAGGUUUUGGACGUCAAGAUAAAUUUUUUUACGAAUUCGUUGGUAACGAGAUUCGCAGUCGGACAGCGAAGCGAAUACGAAGUACGAAAGGACUUGUAACUAAAGAUAGUUUGAACAAAAAAUUCAAAAGUACGACUAAUGACUAACACCCUCGACUUAACACGAGGCCACCCUCACAAUCUCACGUCGUAAAAACAUUCGUAUUAGAUAUAGGUAAGGAUAACCCUUGUAUGGGUACAUCCAAAAACAUUCUUAGAACAUCCUCGUACGAUGAUCCUGAAUACAUCUAACCGAUAAGAUCUGUAACCGUACUCUUACCAGAGGUAGGAUAUAUACCAGUAUCACGCAGAUUUUUUUCGCGCACAAUUAUUGACAGUCGUGUUGCCAAAGAUUGGUUAUCUUUCAAUGAGGGCAAUCAUAUAUAUACUCCGUUACAGAUUAUAAAAAAAAUCUUAUUACCAAAAUAAUUAACCUACUAAUAGUGAAAGUACCACGCGGAUGAAAGCCUAUACAUUUUAGGUCCUGAGAAUACAUUACACGGAAGUUAUAGAUAAGUUGUCAACUUAUCGUUGUAGUUUAGUAAGAGAGCUUGAAUAAUAUAGUACGAGAGAUUGAAGAACUGUAAAUUAAAGUUAAUUUGUUUAGAACAAGUAUCACUUUUUAUAUAAAAUAUCUUUUUAUCGGGAAAUAAGACAAAUAAUAGAGAUCGAUGAAGAUGAUAUCAGGAACGAAUUAUGACUACAAACAGAACACUAACUAAGUGCUAUAAGGCACGGGGUUCGGGAUGUCUUAUUACGGGUCAGAUUAAAGUCGUCACCCGUACUGUCGGAGUUUGAAGAGAGAAGUUAUAACUUUUUCGCCGAAUGAGUCUAGUUAACCGUACGUGAAUCUUUUUAUCGAUUUCUCAUGCUCUAUAAGGAUCUCAUUUAUUUCCCGUACUACACGAGUAUUCAAUCUGUCUUCGUUUUACAAUAAAUAAUACGAGGACAACAUAGGAGUCUGUAAAAGAACGUGGAUGGUUAUGGGAUCAUAACUUAUAGAUGAAAGGGUAGCAGCAUGUCUUUGACUACAAUCAUAAACACGUAUGAGAAACAGAAUUCACCCGAAAGAAAAUUUUUUCGUACGGAAAUAUAAUGGGUUUAUUGUAUUGUUUAAUACGUAGGAGUUCAUAUAUAAAAUUCUCUACUCAGAAUUAAAAAGUAUAUUUACCCAAUGUUUAACCUGAGACAGUAAACCACGUUGAUUUAGAUACGUACGUCUCUUUAGGCUCCAUUAUACUUCCCUCUUUAGAGUGGUCAAAGUCAGCGUCUCAAAGUCAUCCAUUAUACCCGGAAAGUCUAUGGACACGGAGGUAUACGCGGUCUUCAAUAAGAAAAUGACGUGUACGUUCUAUUUUCAAAUUAUCUUUGUGACGAUUUUCUGGGAAGAAUCGUCCAAAUAUCUACAACAUUUUUAUAUAAGAAAAAGUAUGUAGUUUGAACUUUAAGAAUCGCACACGUAAAGGAUCUGUUUACUCAUGAUCUUUUUUAUUUGCACAAAUGUUGUGCCCUACUAAAUUUGAACCCGAAAGACGAUGGUUUUAUCUUACACGUAUACGUAGGUCAACAUUUGUUGUUUGUGGUAAAAAGACGAUUCCUUUUAAUAUAAAUAACGAUACACACGAACUGGUGUCGAUUUCGUUGACUUGUAUCUAAAUUAAAAUUUAUCCCGAAAGAGGAUGGUUUGAUUCUACACAUAAAUGUAGCAAACAGGGAUGAUUUCCUUUGAUUGAUUACGGGAAAAACAGCGUUCGUAAAACUGUAGGUGUUGAUUUGGUGUUAAAACGUAGCGGCUGAACACCAAACAUACGAAUUUUAUGGAAAAAUUGACUCGAACUUUUAAGAAUACACAUCACUUUAACAUAGAUUGUGAAACAUUUCUUGUUUACUUUGUGAAAAGUUUAUUGAGAAUCAGAUUUAGCUGUGGAACACGGUAAACUGUACUAUUAGUAUUCACCAACGAUUUCUCAAACUUAACCAUUUCACCAACGUAGACGACAAAGUUCAGACCUGAUAAGGUUGUACGACUUUGGAUUAAAUUAAAAGUUUUGUGAAGCACAGACUUUACCUGUAACACGAUAUACCGCAUUACCCGGUAAACACAAUGGUACGUACGGUUCAUUAGACUUUAUUAUCCUUUCCUUUUUAUAGUGGUCAACUCAUGCGAAGAGUGCGGGUUUCCUCCUUGGCUCCUUCUUUUCUUUAUGUGUACGUGCUACCUACGUCCGCGACGACGAAGUAUAAGAUGAAACCUGUCCGGUGUGUUUCUUAACAAGGACCUGGAUCCAUGGACCUGCUGGGUGUGUUUCUUAACAAGAACCUGAUCCGAUCCAUCGUAUACUCGGAAAGUUUAUGGGUACGGAGGUAUACGUGUUGUGUCUCUCCCAAAAAGAAAAACACGUGUACCUUUUAUUUUCAAAUCACGUUUGUGACGAUUCUUUUACGUAGGAAUUAAUCAGAUAUAUACAAUACGUUUGAACUAUAAAAAAGUUUGAACCUAAAGAGUCACACCAUUGAUAUAAAAGUUGAUUUUUUUACGAAGGAAUCAACCAGAUACGUACAAUAUUUUUAUUCUAAACAAAAACGUUUGAGUCUAAAGAGUCGCAGUAUUUGUAUAAUAGUUAUAUCAUACUGAAUUGGUAUCCGAAAGAUGAUGGUUGUAGCUUAUACAAGAACGUUUUAUUUUGAUAAAAGUAGCUGUUGUACAGAAAUCGCCCAGAGACGCGGUAAACCGCGUUGCCCAGUUGAUCAUCAUCAUCUACAUCCGUCCUCAGCCAGAUAAUUAGAACCUGCACUACGAAUAUAUGUACUAGCAACGGAACCUAUAGCAGUAUUAAUAAUCAAAAAGACAGUUAACGGGUUGUCAUUUAACAAAUGGGUGGCAUACGAUAAAAGAACUCUCUUCAUAAAUCACUUUUAGUGCCGGGGGCCCAGAUAAAGGAUAGUAUAAUUUUGGUUUUUAUGGAAAGACGUUACAAAUAAAUAAAUAAAAUAAAACACAAAAUCAAUCUAUAUAAAUAGUUUAGGGUAUUUUAUAUUAGAUAGAGUCAUGAAAACUCCGUAACUGUUGGGAUGUGCGCAACCUAACGUUCAUAAACAACAAAGAUACGUCCACAACAAAUGUAUCACAACCAACCAGGAGGAUGACCUAACUAUUGACUACAGCGAACUUGAUGCAGCCAUAAAGAGGUUUCUCCUUUCCUACUACGUCGUGUCGAUGCCUCCAGCGGCAAGACAAAAAAGACUCCAAGCCCCACGUGGCGUCAGGGAACGUACACACGCACGUCACGCGCUCACGUGUACUUCUUCGAGGUACCCUACGCAAACCACAUAAACGUCGAGUGGAACCAAAGGACAGCCGUCGAGUGAAAUCAAAGUGAACGGGCGCUGCGUCACAUCAAAACACGUGAAGUACGGGUAAUCGUUUAUCAAAACACACAUAAAAAAGUCUCAUACCUACAACUAAACCCACUUAAGUCAAAGAUUACUUCAAACAAUUUUACGGAGAUACAUCAAGCCGACCGCAGCCGUACUCCAAGUGAAGAUGUACCAUCGAACCUGCGGAACCGCAACGUGCAGCAGUAAACGACACCACGGUACGCCCAAACACGCCACACGUCGAGCCUCGUUCGUCGGUACCUCAAAUCUGACAACAAACACCUAAAAAAAAACAGCUAGUUUACAUAGGCCAACCCUAUACUACAUAACACACAUUUUUGAUCAACAACUCUUCAAUUGUUCGUAAUUUAUCAAGUAAAAGCUCUCUCUUUACACAACUACAUCGGGUGAAGCUCCUCAGAACACCAAGUAACGUAAGUUGCUCCUCAGAACAACAGAGUAUGUCAAACGAUAUUUUGACUAUCUACACCG
rnacentral:rRNA from 1 species